rnacentral:rRNA from 1 species
AUUGAACGCUGGCGGCAUGCCUUACACAUGCAAGUCGAACGGCAGCACGGACUUCGGUCUGGUGGCGAGUGGCGAACGGGUGAGUAAUGCAUCGGAACGUACCCGGUAGUGGGGGAUAACCACCCGAAAGGGUGGCUAAUACCGCAUAUACUGUGCGCAGGAAAGCAGGGGACCUUCGGGCCUUGUGCUACCGGAGCGGCCGAUGUCAGAUUAGGUAGUUGGUGGGGUAACGGCCUACCAAGCCUACGAUCUGUAGCUGGUCUGAGAGGACGAUCAGCCACACUGGGACUGAGACACGGCCCAGACUCCUACGGGAGGCAGCAGUGGGGAAUUUUGGACAAUGGGGGAAACCCUGAUCCAGCAAUGCCGCGUGCAGGAUGAAGGCCUUCGGGUUGUAAACUGCUUUUGUUACGGAACGAAAAGUCUUGGGUUAAUACCCUGGGAUCAUGACGGUACCGUAAGAAUAAGCACCGGCUAACUACGUGCCAGCAGCCGCGGUAAUGAGUAGUACAC